AAGAAUUAUUCAUGAAGGAUCUAAAUACGACCAAAGGGCACAUCAAAUUUACACACUUGAACAUGUUUAAUGGCCUGGUGGUGCACACCUGUAAGCCUUGCACUGUAGGGGAAGACAAUCUCUUGUGCACUGUGUAAAAGUGUCACUUGUCAAUAAAGAGCUGAGUGGCCUAUAGCAAAGGUGGGACAUCUGGCAGAAAUACAGGAACGCUGACAAAGAGUGAGGUGCACGAAGAUGUCCUACCUGCACUCAGUAUGCAACUCAGGAGAGGUGACCAGCCACAUGGCAGACACAGAAGAGUAUCAACGGGCUAAUCGAGUUAUGGACUAGUUGAGGCUCAAGACUAGCUUAGGCCUAGGCAUCAACUCAUAAAUGAAUAGUCUCAAAAACAAACCAACAAAAACAGAAACAAGAACUACUAGGGGUAUAGAUUAAUGGCAGAGUGCAUGGCUACCAGAUAGGAAGCUCUGAUUCAAGCCCUGGUGCCACAGUAAACAAAAACACCAAAGUCAUACAUUACAAAGCCUUGUGAAUGUGUAUUACCACCCCCCGCCCAUCCCUAAAAGACACCUUUACAAACCACUAUCAUUAUAGCUACAUGUAACUUUAACCUUUUCAACUCCUACUUUUAAUGAUGGUUCUUAAAUGCUUUAACCUCCCUUGUAACCCACCACCCACCCCGGUAGUAGUGGAAAAGAAAGGAUACAGUGGACCUGUUUAGAAAGCUUCUUUGGAGCAACUCCCAUCUGUGUUGUCUAAAAAUCGGCAGGUCAGUUCACAGGUCAGCAUCAGGCGUUCAUCCACUUGCAAACACUUCCAGGACACCAGGAGUCCAGUUCAGUAGAGUCGGGAUAGCAACUGGGACUCAGCAGUGAUGGCAUGACCUAGCAGAGACAGCCAGGCUUCAGCCUCAGCUCGAGUCAGCAGGAGGGUCCGGGACAAACACCACAAGUUCUCGGCUGUGCCUCUCUCAGGGAAGCGGAGAUCAGUGGUUUCGAGACCCACAAGCACUGUACAGCUAGCUGUACCAGCAAGUCAGGCUGUCUCCGUCACUGUUGAGUCCUAUUUAUGCUCUCCAAACAUCACGUGUCCUCCAUAGGCCUUGCCUCAGCACAUGCAGCUGUCUCAGCUAACAUGGCUCUGCCAAUCAGCCAGAGUCCGAGGAAGCAGCAAGAAAUUGCAGCACAUCACCCGAGGGUUUUUUUUGGUUUUUGUUGUUGGUUUUGUUUUGUUUUGUUUUUGGGUGUGUUGCUCUCUAUGGAGUUCGGACAAAUGCAGUGUAAGGCAGACCAAUACUGGCGUGUUGUUAGCAAAGAAUCCUUCAUCAUGUGUCCUUUGCGUGGCUUGCUUUAGCAGAACAUCUGCUCUCCUGUGUCUGCUUCAGCAAAUGUUCCCUCACGAAUCUGCCUUAGCCUUUCACCUGUGUCCACUUCAGCUAAACUUUCCUUCCCCCCUGUGCCCUGGGAACCCCAGCCAGCUGACUUUUCCUCAAGUUCCCGUUUCAGCCGCAUUGCAUUAAGGCCAGCUGAGCUGACAGGCCCCUGAGUCCACAAGUGAGCAGGUGAGAUGACAGAGUUCAAGGCCAGCCUGAACUACAUAGUAUGAGACCACACUUAAAAAGGCUUCAACUAUACACUGGGCCACAGACAAGGCACAAAAACUUGAUGAAAGAUAAAAUAUUUUGUGAGUAAACUCACAAAAGCAAAUGUGGGUUCAUGCUCCACUACGGUUCUGGGACCCUGCAGCAAACCGCAGCGGCGCCGACAGUAGCAGCACGGGACACUUUGAUAAGACGAUACCCUCAUUAUUACAUUCACAUGUAUCUAGGCAUGCCCAGUUAGUCAAACAACGGAGUGGGAGAUGAACUUCUCACUAAUGCAGUCCUUUAUACACCUAUUUUCCAGAGGGUAACAACCAAAAUAACAGCUAGGUUGUGUGUCUCACGACUGCCACGGGUCUGCUAGCUCCAACUAUUUCAACUCCGUAAACGAAGUGGUUUUCCUUAGCUCAGGCUUCCAACUGCAUUUCCACAAAAGAACCUUGAGUGAUCUCCUAAAUUCUUAUGUCCUUGUCUUUAGCUUGAACCUUGUGCGUACGAUAGCGCCCUCUAAAUGACCACACCGUUUCACAAGGCUGGAGGGCACCUACAACUUAGACACGGACCCCACAUCGAAUCUCUUAGCUGGGAGAUGCUGCUCUUUCAAGUCUUUAGAAAUCCACACGGGCCACAGAGUUGGGGACAGAAGAAGCCCACAAGCAGUAAAUCCAGCCGGAUGACGGUCAUGGCGCUACAGUUCUGGUGGCCUCCGCUUAACAGAGCAGAACAACUGGGGUUAGCAAAUGGCAGUGUUACAGGCAGAGUUGCUUCCACGGGAAGAGAGUGAUGUCUCAAAUACUCCAAAGAAGGGGAAACUUAUUUCCAGAAAAAGGGGGUCAUCACUCAACUUCUUAUGAACCCCAACGACUGAGUAGGAAAUACCUUUAAAUGGGAUCCAAAGGAAUAGAUGCUAGAAAUAGAAGUAACUCCUGAUGCUACCAACCUGUAGGCAUUUAGUCUAGGCUCCGCCCCACAGUUACCUGGCAACAGCCAGGCGUGCUGGACUCACUAUAAAAGGGGCUGCUUGGGGUUGGGGAUUUAGCUCAGUGGUAGAGCACUUGCCUAGGAAGCGCAAGGCCCUGGGUUCGGUCCCCAGCUCCGGAAAAAAAAAGAACCAAAAAAAAAAAAAAAAGGGGCUGCUUGUUCUCCCUCUCCCUGCAGUUUUAUGCUCGUCCUCCUCUCUUCCCG
ensembl:lncRNA